AUUGAAAUGUUCAAGAUUGCGGAAUAAAAACUAGCAAAGUAACUGUUCGAAUGUGUUCGGGACGCUGUCGUCAGAUACUGUCCAUAGUUGUGCCGAUGAUUGCUGAUGAGGCACAGCUCUCCAGUGAGAGGUAAUGAGGUACGCUUUUGUCUUCUAAAUUUCCAUCAUCAAGUGUGCAGGGGAAAAUUAGAAGACAAAGAAAUCUUUGGUUUUCAACUAAAUUUUCCGUGGAAAUUUAGAAGGGAAAUUUAGAAGACAAAAGCGUAUGCAUAGGAAAUGAGGGAAAUACGUGAUUAAACGCCCUUUUGGGUUGUAGGUCCCUGGGAAUUGAAAUCGGAUUGCUAAUAGAUCAUAUUGCUGUUGUUGUACUGUACUUGUAAAAUAAAAACUUAUUAAGUGUCAUUUAAUAAAUGCGUAAAUUUUGCUUUAUGCACUCGCGUUUAUACACCCUGUAG